GGCACACGCAAGCGACUAAUGCAGCAUGACUCUGAGAUUGCACAACGUGAUCAACAUUAGGACGUUGCUGUCGGAACAAGAGGUUGGUUCUGGCUUUCCAGAUAUGCCAGAGUAUAGCCGCAACUAUUUCAAGCUUAGGGCUGAAAUCACAGCUUGAUCGUACUGGCCAUGAGGCUGAUUUGUUAGAGCUUGAAGCUGGUUUUUGAGUGACACCUCGCCAGGUUUGUAAGAUGUCCAAGAGUCAAUAAUAGUCGUACAACAUUGGAGAUCCUGUAGCCAAUAUGCUUCAAAGUAGAAAGUACGUGCCCUUCUGGAUCGCUGAGUGUCUGCAGUAGUUAACAUAAGAGGACUGUGAUCAGAUCCUAGUGCUGGUAGGGCCAGCACCUCCGCCAAGGGGUAAGUGAGUCUCCAUGCUUUUGUGCACAGCAUCCUAUCGAUUCGUUCCUUAACCAUAUCAGCACCAGUCCGAUUAUUAGACCAAGUAUAAGAGCAGCCUUUGUUUCCCAGAUCCAUUAGCAAACAAUCAUUAAUUAGAUCACGAAAUGAAUGCAUGCGAUAGGUCUCUACAGGUCUCUUCCCUACUUUCUCCCAUGGAUGCAUUACCUCAUUAAAGUCAGCUAGACACAACCAAGGCUGGGUAUUAAAGCUACCGAUUCUCCUUAAUGAUGUCCACAGGUGCUAUCUAAGCUGAUAACUUACAGGAGCAUGAAGGCAGGUAAGACGCAUAAUGAUCCCCAAAUCCAGGUCAGUGCAAAAAGAGUCAAUCAUGUCUGCAGAAUUAUAGAUCACUUUCACAUCCACUCUAGCAUUCCAAAAAAAGGCGAGCCCUCCUGCUAGACCCACUGGAUUUUCAAUAUAGCUAGCUGAGAAACCAAGUUUCCUUUGCAUCUGUAUAAGCUUAUGUUCCUGAUGUUUCGUUUCCAUCAAAAAAAUCAGAUCAGGCCUUUCUUGGGUCACUAAGACCCUGAGUGCUUGAACUGUCAAGGGGUUGCCAGCCCCUGACAGUUCCAACUUAUUAUUUUCAUUGAUGACCUGGUGGCUUUUUAGGGCUAGCCACCAGUGCCCAAGAAGCAGAACCAUCCGCCUCAUAUAUAGGAGUUUCCUGCAAAACAGAUUCAUCGAAGUUCUCUUGGAUUUGAGUACGAAUAUCAGGGCUAAAAAGUUUUUUGGCCUUCUUAAUAGGUCCAGAUCGUGCGGUAAGACUUGAAUGCUUCAUCUUCUUAGAUUGUAUAGUACUUGCUGCGAUGCUACUAGCCAUAAGUUUGUGGUGCAUAUUCAGACUCUCCGAUGCAUUCGGAACCAUAGAUUGCCAUUUAAUAGGAGUUGCAGCAAUAAUAGGAUGAUCAGGUUCCAUUGCUGCCAUUGUCUGCUUUCCUUUAUCUUUUUGAAUAGGGAUAAUGGCAGAAGGGGAUGGAGGAGUCUCUGGGACAGUCUCAUCAACAGCAGCUGUGGAUGGAUUCGUCUCAUAAAAGAGAACCAUCCUUAUUCUCUAUGCGCACUUCUGUUACUCUCCCUAUGUGAGCAGCAACCUUACGAAGCAUAUUUUCAGUACAUCUUUCCAAUGGCAAACCAUAAACUUGGACCCAAAGCUUGCAGGUAUUGAAGUUGUAGCAAUGCAAAGGUGUAUUUGCUAUCCAGGGUUUUAACAUGACCAGAUGAUUAGCAAAACGCCAAGGUCCGUUUUCAUACACCCUCUGUUUUACCUCCUCAGAGUGGAAUUUUAUUAUAUAUAAACCAGAAUCACCCAGAGAAAUGUCCACUAGUUCAGUGCGCCAUACCCUUUUCAUAGUACUCUGAAAUGCCUGAAAGUUAACUGUAGGGUUAUUUAAAAGCUUACCGACUAAAACUAACCGACAUUCCUCAA